UAUGGUCAAAUCACAAUGAAUCACCGGUUUGCAUACGAUCACCGAAGCUAAGCAACGUCGAGCCUGGUCAGUACCUAGAUGGGGGAUCGCUUGGAACGAUCAGGUGCUGCAAG